UUUCCGUAGGUGAACCUGCGGAAGGAUCAUUAUUGUAUAACCGAGGUGCGAGGGCUGUCGCUGACCCGAAAGGUCGUGCACGCUCGAGUGCCCUCCCACACAUCCAUCUCACCCCUAUGUGCACCACCGCGUGGGUCCCCCUUUGGCUUGUUCGGAGGGGGGCUUACGUUUUCACACAAACUUUGUAUGCAGUGUAGAAGGUAUUUUUUGUUUUUGCGAUCACGCAAUCAAUACAACUUUCAACAACGGAUCUCUUGGCUCUC
rnacentral:misc_RNA from 1 species